AGCGAAAGAGGAUGACAGAUCGAAAGCGAUUGAGGAUGAUAGGGAAAGCAAAAGAGGAUGAAAGAUCGAUAGUGAUAGAGGAUGAAAGGGAAAGCGAAAGAGGAUGAAAGAUCGAAAGUGAUUGAGGAUGAAAGGGAAAGCGAAAGAGGAUGAAAGAUCGAUAGUGAUAGAGAAUGAAAGAGAAAGAGGAUGAAAGAUCGAAAGUGAUUGAGGAUGAAAGGGAAAGCGAAAGAGGAUGAAAGAUCGAUAGUGAUAGAGAAUGAAAGGGAAAGCGAAAGAGGAUGAAAGAUUGAAAGUGAUAGAGAAUGAAAGGGAAAGCGAAAGAGGAUGAAAGAUCGAAAGUGAUUGAGGAUGAAAGGGAAAGCGAAAGAGGAUGAAAGAUCGAUAGUGAUAGAGAAUGAAAGAGAAAGAGGAUGAAAGAUCGAAAGUGAUAGAGGAUGAAAGGGAAAGCAAAAGAGGAUGAAAGAG